GACAGAAGGUGCAAACGUUGUUCGGAAUUACUGGGCGUAAAGCGCGUGUAGGCUGCUUCGAAAGUCGGAUGUGAAAGCCCUGGGCUCAACCUAGGAAGUGCAUUCGAAACUUCGAAGCUUGAGUUCUGGAGAGGAAGGCGGAAUUCUCGGUGUAGAGGUGAAAUUCGUAGAUAUCGAGAGGAACACCGGUGGCGAAGGCGGCCUUCUGGACAGUGACUGACGCUGAGACGCGAAAGCGUGGGGAGCAAACAGG
rnacentral:rRNA from 1 species